rnacentral:rRNA from 1 species
AGUGAACGCUGGCGGCAGGCCUAACACAUGCAAGUCGAGCGGCAGCGCGGGGGCAACCCUGGCGGCGAGCGGCGGACGGGUGAGGAAUUCGUCGGAAUCUGCCUUUUUGUGGGGGAUAACGUAGGGAAACUUACGCUAAUACCGCAUACGUCCUACGGGAGAAAGUGGGGGACCGCAAGGCCUCACGCAGAAAGAUGAGCCGACGACCGAUUAGCUAGUUGGUGGGGUAAAGCCCCACCAAGGCGACGAUCGGUAGCUGGUCUGAGAGGAAGAUAGGCCACACUGGGACUGAGACACGGCCCAGACUCCUACGGGAGGCAGCAGUGGGGAAUAUUGGACAAUGGGCGCAAGCCUGAUCCAGCCAUGCCGCGUGUGUGAAGAAGGCCUUCGGGUUGUAAAGCACUUUUGUCCGGAAAGAAAUCCCUGGAGCUAAUACCUUCGGGGGAUGACGGUACCGGAAGAAUAAGCACCGGCUAACUUCGUG